GAUGAACGCUGACAGAAUGCUUAACACAUGCAAGUCUUUGGCGAAGCUGCGCUUGCACAGCCUAGCCAAGGCGGACGGGUGAGUAACGCGUAAGGAACUUGCCCUGCAGUCAGGGAUAACAGACGGAAACGACUGAUAAGACCUGGUAAAGUCAGGCGGACUCAUGUCCAGCCUGAUGAAAAGAGAUGCUGCAGGAGAGCCUUGCGUCCUAUUAGCUUGUUGGUGGGGUAACGGCCCACCAAGGCGAUGAUAGGUAGCCGGCCUGAGAGGGUGGACGGCCACAAGGGGACUGAGAUACGGCCCUUACUCCUACGGGAGGCAGCAGUGGGGAAUAUUGGACAAUGGGGGCAACCCUGAUCCAGCAAUUCUGUGUGCACGAUGAAGGUUUUCGGAUUGUAAAGUGCUUUCAGCAGGGAAGAAAAAAAUGACGGUACCUGCAGAAGAAGCGACGGCUAAAUACGG
rnacentral:rRNA from 1 species